CCUGAGAACAUUUUUUUCUGAGUGACUCCAGCUUCCAGACACAUUUGCCAUGAGAAGGGUUCCAAUCCUUUCCUGUAUUUGCCCUGAGUCAUGAAUGGAUAUGUGUGAUGCCUGCAAGUAAAACUGCUUAAAGGAGUGAUCCUUUCUCCAGCUGCAGCAAGAGCCACUUCUCGGCCGUCUCUCUUGUUCCCCACUUGAGUGUCCCUGGUGAUGUCAGGAAUUCAUUCACCGCCGUGCACGCCUUAAAGGAUCUCCCUUGCUCCUUGUGGCAUCAGUGGCUCCAGGAAGACUUUGUUUUUCUGAAACUUUUCUGUCUGUGGAACUUUCUCUGUGGCAGGGGGAGGAGAGAAGAAGUAAUUUUAACAAUUUAAUAAAGUACAUAAUGUAAGUUUUAUAAGCUGGUGUGAAUGCUCCUAAGUAUUUUGGUCUUUUUUCAUAACACAAUGAACCUAAUAUUGGUAAAAAUACAGAUCUUAGC
rnacentral:lncRNA from 1 species